UCCCUGAUAGCUCAGUUAGUAAAGCAUUUGCCUACAGUGCAGGAGACCCUGGUUCGAUUCCUGGGUCUGGAAA
rfam:Ovis aries breed Texel chromosome 13, whole genome shotgun sequence.